CGGGGGGGAUCUAUACAUGCAGUAGAACGCUGAAGAGAGGAGCUUGCUCUUCUUGGAUGAGUUGCGAACGGGUGAGUAACGCGUAGGUAACCUGCCUUGUAGCGGGGGAUAACUAUUGGAAACGAUAGCUAAUACCGCAUAACAAUGGAUGACACAUGUCAUUUAUUUGAAAGGGGCAAUUGCUCCACUACAAGAUGGACCUGCGUUGUAUUAGCUAGUAGGUGAGGUAAUGGCUCACCUAGGCGACGAUACAUAGCCGACCUGAGAGGGUGAUCGGCCACACUGGGACUGAGACACGGCCCAGACUCCUACGGGAGGCAGCAGUAGGGAAUCUUCGGCAAUGGGGGCAACCCUGACCGAGCAACGCCGCGUGAGUGAAGAAGGUUUUCGGAUCGUAAAGCUCUGUUGUAAGUCAAGAACGGGUGUGAGAGUGGAAAGUUCACACUGUGACGGUAGCUUACCAGAAAGGGACGGCUAACUACGUGCCAGCAGCCGCGGUAAUACGUAGGUCCCGAGCGUUGUCCGGAUUUAUUGGGCGUAAAGCGAGCGCAGGCGGUUUGAUAAGUCUGAAGUUAAAGGCUGUGGCUCAACCAUAGUUCGCUUUGGAAACUGUCAAACUUGAGUGCAGAAGGGGAGAGUGGAAUUCCAUGUGUAGCGGUGAAAUGCGUAGAUAUAUGGAGGAACACCGGUGGCGAAAGCGGCUCUCUGGUCUGUAACUGACGCUGAGGCUCGAAAGCGUGGGGAGCGAACAGGAUUAGAUACCCUGGUAGUCCACGCCGUAAACGAUGAGUGCUAGGUGUUGGAUCCUUUCCGGGAUUCAGUGCCGCAGCUAACGCAUUAAGCACUCCGCCUGGGGAGUACGACCGCAAGGUUGAAACUCAAAGGAAUUGACGGGGGCCCGCACAAGCGGUGGAGCAUGUGGUUUAAUUCGAAGCAACGCGAAGAACCUUACCAGGUCUUGACAUCCCGAUGCUAUUUCUAGAGAUAGAAAGUUACUUCGGUACAUCGGUGACAGGUGGUGCAUGGUUGUCGUCAGCUCGUGUCGUGAGAUGUUGGGUUAAGUCCCGCAACGAGCGCAACCCCUAUUGUUAGUUGCCAUCAUUCAGUUGGGCACUCUAGCGAGACUGCCGGUAAUAAACCGGAGGAAGGUGGGGAUGACGUCAAAUCAUCAUGCCCCUUAUGACCUGGGCUACACACGUGCUACAAUGGUUGGUACAACGAGUUGCGAGUCGGUGACGGCGAGCUAAUCUCUUAAAGCCAAUCUCAGUUCGGAUUGUAGGCUGCAACUCGCCUACAUGAAGUCGGAAUCGCUAGUAAUCGCGGAUCAGCACGCCGCGGUGAAUACGUUCCCGGGCCUUGUACACACCGCCCGUCACACCACGAGAGUUUGUAACACCCGAAGUCGGUGAGGUAACCUUUGGAGCCAGCCGCGUAAGGUGACCAAAGU
rnacentral:rRNA from 1 species